AGCGAACGCUGGCGGCAGGCCUAACACAUGCAAGUCGAACGAACCUUUCGGGGUUAGUGGCGGACGGGUGAGUAACACGUGGGAACGUUCCUUUAGGUUCGGAAUAACUCAGGGAAACUUGUGCUAAUACCGAAUGUGCCCUUCGGGGGAAAGAUUAAUCGCCCUUAGAGCGGCCCGCGUCUGAUUAGCUAGUUGGUUGAGGUAAUGGCUCACCAAGGCGACGAUCAGUAGCUGGUCUGAGAGGAUGAUCAGCGACAUUGGGACUGGGACACGGCCCAGAAUCCUACGGGAGGCAGCAGUGGGUAAUCUUGCGAAAUGGGGGAAGGCCUGACGCAGCCAGGCCGCGUGAAUGAUGAAGGUCUUAGGAUUGUAAAAUUCUUUCACCGGGGACGAUAAUGACGGUACCCGGAGAAGAAGCCCCGGCUAACUUCGUG
rnacentral:rRNA from 1 species